GUCCGCGUAGCUCAGUGGAUAGAGCGCAGCCCUGCGGAGGCUGAGGUCGGAGGUUCGAAUCCUCCCGCGGACG
rnacentral:tRNA from 3 species